rnacentral:rRNA from 1 species
UACGUAGGGGGCUAGCGUUGUCCGGAUUUAUUGGGCGUAAAGAGCGUGUAGGCGGCCAGGUAGGUCUGCUGUGAAAACUCGAGGCUCAACCUCGAGACGUCGGCGGAAACCAUCUGGCUAGAGUCCGGAAGAGGAGAGUGGAAUUCCUGGUGUAGCGGUGAAAUGCGCAGAUAUCGGGAGGAACACCAAUUGCGAAGGCAGCUCGCUGGGACGUAACUGACGCUGAGACGCGAAAGCGUGGGGAGCAAACAGG